rnacentral:rRNA from 1 species
UGCAAAGGUAGCAUAAUCACUUGCCUUUUAAUUGGGGGCUAGAAUGAAAGAGAGGACGAAAUUCAGACUAUUUGUUUGUAGAUUGAAAUUAACAUAAAGGUUAAAAGGCCUUUAUUUACCAAAGGGACGAUAAGACCCUAUAAAACUUUACUAUAAAUAUAAAGUUACACAGGCAAAGCUUAAAUUUUAUAGUUUAACUGGGGCGGUCUAUAUAAAAACAAUUGAAAUAAAAAUAUUUUAAAUAGAAAUAGAGAGCUUUAAUUUGAAAUAAAUAAGUUACUUUAGGGAUAACAGCAUAAUUCUCCCAGAGAGUCCUAAUUGGCGGGAGAGCUUAUGACCUCGAUGUUGAAUUGGGAGAUCUGAUGUAAGUAGAAAUAUAUUAAGACGGUCUGUUCGACCUUUAAAUUCCC